rnacentral:lncRNA from 1 species
CAAAGGCCUCCCACCUUUGCACAUCUAUUGGAUGAAUAUUGAAUUAGAACACAUUGAACAAGAUGAAAGAGUAUACAUGAGCCAAAAGGGAGAUCUGUAUUUUGCAAAUGUGGAAGAAAAAGACAGUCGAAAUGAUUACUGUUGCUUUGCUGCAUUUCCAAAAUUAAGGACGAUUGUACAAAAAAUGCCAAUGAAACUAACUGUGAACAGUUGUAAGUCCAGAUAAUUUAUUCUUCCUUCACUCAUGCUGAAUGCAAAUACGUGCAUAAUUUUAUUCUUCUCUCUGAAGACAUUUAAAGCCAAGUUGGUAUUUCCCGUCAUUGUUUCCUUUAACUCCAGAGACUUUAUAAAGAUGAUCUAGACAUCUGCAGCUGCAAAUCCACAGUAGCGCUGUCUCUGGCAGCCAGAAAAUCAAAUCUCAAUUCACAGUACAAAUGUGUUUCAUUUGAUGUCUGCAGGAUCUACUCAUUUUCACUGAGCAUAAAGCACAUCUCAGGCGUGGGCUCACCGUGACCUUGGAUAAAUCAGCAGGCUGAAAAUGAAGGAGACAAAAAUUGAGUCAAAAAAAUUCACCAUUUAUAUUUU